UUCAGACUGCAGGAACAGCCAGCACCAGAGAUAUCUCCUGCAAGGCCUCCUAGGUGGGUUCUUGGAAGAAAGGAAUGCCAAUGAAUAUGAUUGCAAGGGACAGAUGACCAAACCUUGCAGACAGCAGCGGGAGCUGGAGGGACUUUGUUGAGGACUGGGACCCAGGUGUGGUUGCUGCAAUGCCCUCUGCUUUGGCAGAGAAAAGAUGCAGAUUCCCAGGUCACACCAAGUGACCUCUCCAGAACCUGGAACAGCCUCUGUGUGGACUGCCAUGGGAGAGCUGGAGCCACCACAGAAUCUUGCUCACCCCAGGGAGGUGGCAGCAAUAGGAUCAUCAUGACUUUUCACCUUGACCUUUCACCACAGCCUGACCCCUCCAAGGUGGGAGUGAGCACAAUGGCACAGGGGUUGGGGGUCU
rnacentral:lncRNA from 1 species